GUAUAAGUUUAUAGGCACAAUGGCCCAUUAAUUACACUCUAAGACAUACAUUGAGUAUAUGAAGAAACAUAGACUUGGAAAUGUAAAGAGAGACGUAAAGUCAAUCCUCAAGAACCUGAGUGACAAGCACUCAGAAAGAUAUCCAAAGUCUACAAAAGGUGCACAGGUGGAGAUAUAAAGACGACAAGUGUGCACAUGCUCCCAAGAGAGCCAGCAGCAACUCAUCAGGUUUAUUUCAAUAAUGAUCCUUCCGCAGGUUCACCUACGGAAA
rnacentral:misc_RNA from 1 species